AGACCCGAAACCCGGUGAUCUAGCCAUGGGCAGGUUGAAGGUUGGGUAACACUAACUGGAGGACCGAACCGACUAAUGUUGAAAAAUUAGCGGAUGACUUGUGGCUGGGGGUGAAAGGCCAAUCAAACCGGGAGAUAGCUGGUUCUCCCCGAAAGCUAUUUAGGUAGCGCCUCGUGAAUUCAUCUCCGGGGGUAGAGCACUGUUUCGGCAAGGGGGUCAUCCCGACUUACCAACCCGAUGCAAACUGCGAAUACCGGAGAAUGUUAUCACGGGAGACACACGGCGGGUGCUAACGUCCGUCGUGAAGAGGGAAACAACCCAGACCGCCAGCUAAGGUCCCAAAGUCAUGGUUAAGUGGGAAACGAUGUGGGAAGGCCCAGACAGCCAGGAUGUUGGCUUAGAAGCAGCCAUCAUUUAAAGAAAGCGUAAUAGCUCACUGGUCGAGUCGGCCUGCGCGGAAGAUGUAACGGGGCUAAACCAUGCACCGAAGCUGCGGCAGCGACACUGUGUGUUGUUGGGUAGGGGAGCGUUCUGUAAGCCUGUGAAGGUGUGCUGUGAGGCAUGCUGGAGGUAUCAGAAGUGCGAAUGCUGACAUAAGUAACGAUAAAGCGGGUGAAAAGCCCGCUCGCCGGAAGACCAAGGGUUCCUGUCCAACGUUAAUCGGGGCAGGGUGAGUCGACCCCUAAGGCGAGGCCGAAAGGCGUAGUCGAUGGGAAACAGGUUAAUAUUCCUGUACUUGGUGUUACUGCGAAGGGGGGACGGAGAAGGCUAUGUUGGCCGGGCGACGGUUGUCCCGGUUUAAGCGUGUAGGCUGGUUUUCCAGGCAAAUCCGGAAAAUCAAGGCUGAGGCGUGAUGACGAGGCACUACGGUGCUGAAGCAACAAAUGCCCUGCUUCCAGGAAAAGCCUCUAAGCAUCAGGUAACAUCAAAUCGUACCCCAAACCGACACAGGUGGUCAGGUAGAGAAUACCAAGGCGCUUGAGAGAACUCGGGUGAAGGAACUAGGCAAAAUGGUGCCGUAACUUCGGGAGAAGGCACGCUGAUAUGUAGGUGAAGUCCCUCGCGGAUGGAGCUGAAAUCAGUCGAAGAUACCAGCUGGCUGCAACUGUUUAUUAAAAACACAGCACUGUGCAAACACGAAAGUGGACGUAUACGGUGUGACGCCUGCCCGGUGCCGGAAGGUUAAUUGAUGGGGUCAGCGCAAGCGAAGCUCUUGAUCGAAGCCCCGGUAAACGGCGGCCGUAACUAUAACGGUCCUAAGGUAGCGAAAUUCCUUGUCGGGUAAGUUCCGACCUGCACGAAUGGCGUAAUGAUGGCCAGGCUGUCUCCACCCGAGACUCAGUGAAAUUGAACUCGCUGUGAAGAUGCAGUGUACCCGCGGCAAGACGGAAAGACCCCGUGAACCUUUACUAUAGCUUGACACUGAACAUUGAGCCUUGAUGUGUAGGAUAGGUGGGAGGCUUUGAAGUG
rnacentral:rRNA from 1 species